AGAAGAGUGACGUUUUCCAAUGUCCACCUAAUUAAAUCAAAAACAGCAUGGCUGGAACUCAUGUAGCUGCACCUUUGACUAGUUCUCUUUCUAAAUUGCAGUCUUUGAAUGGACUAUUUGCAAUUUACAAAAAGAAAGGACCGACUUCUGCAGAUGUUUUGAACACACUUAAAGAAACUUUACUCAAGGAAGCCGGUGUGAAGAAUCCGAACCCGAGGAAAAGGAAGAAACAAAGUCUGAAGAUGGGCCAUGGAGGAACGCUCGAUAGUGCUGCCAGUGGAGUAUUAGUUGUUGGUGUUGGAAAUGGCACAAAAAUGCUCAGCACAUUGUUGGCUGGUUCCAAGAAAUACACUGCUGUAGCAGAGUUGGGUAAAGCAACAGACACUCUCGAUGCAACUGGCAGUGUUACUGAGGAAAAAGACUUCAAACACAUUACCCAUUCGGAUGUGGAGGAGAAGCUGAAAAGUUUUGUCGGCAAUAUUAUGCAAGUCCCACCACUUUACUCGGCAUUGAAAAAAGAUGGACAGCGAAUGUCUGUCCUUCUGAAGAAAGGUGAGAAGGUUGAAGCGAAACCUGCAAGAUCCGUCACAGUGUACAACUUGACCCUACAAGAGUUCAAGCUGCCAUUCUUCACGUUGGCAGAUAUUGAAUGCGGCGGUGGAUUUUACGUGAGGAGCUUGGUAGAUGACCUUGGAAAAGCGCUCUCAUCAUGUGCUCACGUCAAGCAGCUGAUCCGUACCAAGCAGGGUCAGUUUACCUUGGAACAGCACGCCUUACAUGAGGAUCAAUGGACACUGGAACACAUCGUCAAAUCAAUGCAUCCAUGUCCAGAAUUGGACCAGAAUCUGGACGCUGUUGCAGAGCCGGAAGGUGGAACAUGAGUGACAGUCUUUAGUGAAAAAUUCAUUCCGUUUUUGGACAGCAAUCGGUGUCUGUUAUUCAUUCUUGUUGGCUUUUUUUUCUUUUUUUUUUUUUUUUUAAAUUAGGUGGAAAUCAUCACAAUAUUUUGGUCAAUUUUCUUCAACUUGUGUUAGUUUACAGAUUUUAAACUAUAAAUAGUGAUUAUUCGAACUAUUCAAAAUUCUAGCAUUUUGUACAUUUCAAAAUAUUGUUUGUCUUUUUGAUCAUGUUUGAAACUGAAGUAGAAGAAAUGCUACCUUUGAACAUUAAAAAGUGCAUUUCUGUCACACCACCAACAAUUUAACAUUUUCUACCAAACUGAUCAGAGAAAUUAUUAGAUUUUUGUUGUUGUGGUCCUUGCUGCUACAGUCUGCUUAAAAGGCUCAUUUUCACCAUAUUUUCAGCACUAUAAGGCACACCUAAAAGCUUUGUUUUUUCUCAAAAGCAGACUGUUUUCCUUAUGCAAUAUAUGGAUCAAUAUUGGUUAAUCAUGUUAUGACAUUCCCUUUAGCGCAGUACCAUUAAGUGGAUUUAUAAUGCAACCACCACCACUACUACUGCACCUUAUAAUGCGGUGCACCGUAUAUAUGAAAACCGUUUUAAAAAUAGGCCAUUCAUUGAAGGUUCAACUUAUACUCCGAUGCGCUUUAUAGUGCGGGAAAUAUGGUACAAUUAAACAAGUACUGACAGCAAUUUACAUACUCCUAAAUUAUCUUUCAACUGUUUUAUGCUUAUAUGAUGCAUAAUGCGUAUAAAAGGGCAAAUGGACCCAUACUGCUGCAUUCAUUUGUGGGUCGGUGCAUAAGCAUGUUAUGAUACAACAUUGCGACAGUUGUCUUUCAUCACUGGUGGAAAAGAGGAUUGCAACAUACCCAAAUAGUUUCAAAUCAGGUAGUCCCCAAGUUACGACGUACUCGACUUAAUGUGAUUUGGACUUCACUACGCCAGGUCUCAAGAAGAACAAGAACAAGAAAGCCCGCAAACAGUUUGCUGAAGACAUGUCAACAAAGAACAUGGAUUACUGGAACCAUGUCCUAUGGUCUGAUGAGACGGGCAGGCUUUCUUGUGUACUGUCUUCAGAAGAGGCUUCCACCUGGAGUGACAGCCAUGCACACCAAUUUGAUGUGGAGUGUGGCGUAUGGACUGAGCACUAACAGGCUGACCCCCCACCUCUUCAAUCUCUGCAACAAUGCUGACAGCACUCCUGUAACGAGUCACGUGACAUUUUGGAGGGAAAAUGACAAGCAGUACUCAAUUUGGACAUUUUGGGAUGUACGUUUUUUCAUGGGGGUGAACUCACUUUUGUUGCCAGGGGUUUAGAUAUUAAUGGCUAUAUUCUGAGUUAUUUUGAGGGGAAAAUAAAUGAACUCUAUUAUAUAAACUGCACACAGACUACUUUUCAUUGUGUCAAAGUGUCAUUUUGUCAGUGUUGUCCCAUGAAAAGAUAUACUAUAAUAUCUUAAGGA